AUUGAACGCUGGCAGCAUGCCUUACACAUGCAAGUCGAACGGUAACAGGUCUUCGGAUGCUGACGAGUGGCGAACGGGUGAGUAAUACAUCGGAACGUGCCUAGUAGUGGGGGAUAACUACUCGAAAGAGUGGCUAAUACCGCAUGAGAUCUACGGAUGAAAGCAGGGGAUUGCAAGACCUUGUGCUACUAGAGCGGCCGAUGGCAGAUUAGGUAGUUGGUGGGAUAAAAGCUUACCAAGCCGACGAUCUGUAGCUGGUCUGAGAGGACGAUCAGCCACACUGGGACUGAGACACGGCCCAGACUCCUACGGGAGGCAGCAGUGGGGAAUUUUGGACAAUGGGCGCAAGCCUGAUCCAGCAAUGCCGCGUGCAGGAUGAAGGCCUUCGGGUUGUAAACUGCUUUUGUACGGAACGAAAAGCCCUGGGUUAAUACCCUGGGGUCAUGACGGUACCGUAAGAAUAAGCACCGGCUAACUACGUGCCAGCCGCCGCCGUAAAAC
rnacentral:rRNA from 1 species